AGAGAGAGAGAGAGAAAUAUUUGAUCAACAUUAUGAGGGAACUAUUUUUCUUUGCAUAUAAAUAAAAAGGGGGAUAUGAGUUUGCUUUCAUUAGUCCUGACUUUUUAUUUAGUUUUUACUAGUGUGGUUGUUUCUUUCUGGCAUCAAAGGCACUCAUCCUACUUGAGAAUCAUUUGCACCUUUGUUUUCCACAUAUUUUCAUUCUAGUUCUUCUUGCCAUUGCUCAUUUAAAGUUUCCAUGACCAUAUUUA
rnacentral:misc_RNA from 1 species